AGUGCGGAGGAGGCGCGGCAGGGGCCGGGGCUGUUGUUGCAGGGCGGCCCAGACAGGACGCCCUGUCUCCUUUCUCUCCUACAACCGCUUUUUAAAAGUCUGUUUCUGUUUUUGCUGGUUCCCCGGCGAGUCGGGCCCUGCCGUGGCCCCUGAGGAGGGGGCGGCGAUCGCGCGAUGCGGCUGCGACCACGACUGCGGCGCCCAGGGGAACCCGGUGUGCGGCUCCGACGGGGUGGUCUACGCCAGCGCCUGCCGCCUGCGGGAGGCCGCCUGCCGCCAGGCCGCGCCCCUGGAGCCCGCGCCUCCCAGCUGCUGCGCCCUCGAGCAGCGGCUGCCGGCCUCGGCGUCCUCCACCUACGGGGAUGACCUGGCUUCUGUGGCCCCGGGGCCUUUACAGCAGGACGUGAAGCUGAAUGGAGCCGGCCUUGAGGUGGUGGACUCAGACCCUGAGCCUGAAGGGGAGGCGGAGGACAGUCAGAGCGGCUUCUCUUCCUAACGGCUGCCCUGCUGAGAGCAGGACGACACCAUCUGGCUGCAUCCUGUCCCUAUCAGCCUGUGACUCUGCAUGGUGGGUGGGCAGACCUCAGCCCAGGUGACACCUGCCUCUAAAUGAACCCAAGGAACAGAAUGACAGAGAUCUGCCCGUCCCUAGGAUGAGACUCUUGGGACCCAGGUGUGGGCUCAGCAGUCAUCGGUGUGGUGCAGGGGGGACAGCUGGAGGCCCCUUGGGAGAUCCCCCACCUUCCUAGCUACAGCUGGAGCUCCAAGCACCCCAACCCCCCAGCCUUGGAGCUGGGCAUCAUUUUCCUGGGGCCACGGCAGCUCCCACAGCCUGACAUUCUGUUCCCGGGAGAAGAAACAUUCCCAGAAAGCACUCGUGUGGCCAAAAGCCUCUUUCUGAGCAAACACGAUGUGGACUAAAUUAGCAAAACAUCCAGCCCGUGGGCAACUUCAAAACGGAACAGGCUGCGUUUCUCUGAAACACAAAGCCCCGGCCUCCCUUUGGGGCACCCAGGACCCCAAAUUGCCCUAAGACUGUCCCAGCUCUCGCACCCUCUGCCUUCGCCCCCCGGGGACCUCGGGCUCACAUCACAAGGCCCUGCGGGGAAGCAGAUGGCUCUCAGCAAAUGCACUUUCAGCUUCCGGCUGCCGGGGCUGGGUGACCCCGGUGCU
rnacentral:sRNA from 1 species